UUUAAUGAGGAUAAAUACAUGUUUAUAGCCAAGAAGGAAAAGAAAGUUGUCAGACAAGUAGAACCUCAUUGAGAUGAGAUGGAUCUGCCAGGGAAAAGAAAAGCACUUCCUUUACUUCCUGACUGAGAUCUCAGGGGGGUGAAGAUACAAGAUGGAAAGAAAAGUCUGAUCUGCUCGCUGUGAAACACCAGUUUCUCAUUUGCCUGAAGAAAAAUGAGAAAAAGAUUGAUAUUGUUAUAUGUGAUGAAGUGCAACAUGAGGUGGAUUCUUACCGAACUUUCAAAAUGCUUUGUAGUCGAGACUGGUUCUGAGAAGAAAUGCUCACAAAUCCUUGCUGGAUACAGAUCAGGGGGCUAUUGAAAAUCUGCAAAAGUCAAAUUCCCUCAGUUCAAGAAGACGACUCGUACCUGGGAAUGGCUCUGGACUAAUUACAAAACAACUGUUUAAAAUCACUGCAGAAAGCAGAGACAACAAGAGUUUUGCCAAAAGGAAGAAGGGCUGUUGAUCACUUGUGUGGUAGAGAGAAACACCCAGAAUCAGUCUGGACAGGAUGGAGCUUCAGUCUGGACAGGAUGGAGCCUCAGUCUGGACAGGAUGGAGCCUCAGUCUGGACAGGAUGGAGCCUCAGUCUGGACAGGAUGGAGCCUCAGUCUGGACAGGAUGGAGCCUCAGUCUGGACAGGAUGGAGCCUCAGUCUGGACAGGAUGGACCUUCAGUCUGGACAGGAUGGAGCCUCAGUCUGGACAGGAUGGAGCUUCAGUCUGGACAGGAUGGAGCCUCAGUCUGGACAGGAUGGAGCCUCAGUCUGGACAGGAUGGAGCCUCAGUCUGGACAGGAUGGAGCCUCAGUCUGGACAGGAUGGAGCCUCAGUCUGGACAGGAUGGAGCCUCAGUCUGGACAGGAUGGAGCCUCAGUCUGGACAGGAUGGAGCCUCAGUCUGGACAGGAUGGAGCCUCAGUCUGGACAGGAUGGAGCCUCAGUCUGGACAGGAUGGAGCGUUAGUCUGGACAGGAUGGAGCCUCAGUCUGGACAGGAUGGAGCCUCAGUCUGGACAGGAUGGAGCCUCAGUCUGGACAGGAUGGAGCCUCAGUCUGGAAAGGAUGGAGUUUUAGUCUGGACAGGAUGGAGCCUAACUGUGGAAAAACAGAAACUGACUGAAACACACAAUACAAUGACAAAUCAAUGACCAGAAUGGCAACCAGCUCCAGCUACUCAGCAUCACUCUGACUAUUUGUGCUGGUUGGCUUCUGUCUCAGCUGAAGGGAGGACAUUGUGUUUUAAAGUAUUUUCUUUCUGUCCUGAAGUAGGUCUACCUGCUUAAUACACACAGACUUUCAUAUAGGUAAAGCAAAGCCAUGCUAUGACUUAACUCUACCUUCAUAUAUUGGGCUGCCUUUAUCACAAUAGUUUCACUGUUUAAAAACAUGUGUUUUCAAAUGACUGUAUGCUACAUUGAUCUUUGGAUCACACUUGGAAUGCGAAAGGUUCCUAAUGUUAGUUUUAGGUCUCCCCGAAGUCCGUAGACUUCCACUCUAUUAGUCACCCUAGAACACAGUCAACGAGCCUAACGGAGAUGUGUAUUCAUUAGGGAUAUACUGUAGCUAAAUGUUCAAUGGAGGGCUACGCGAGCGUUUCUUGGACCAAUUCAGAAUUUGGUACACAAGGAGGAGGAGCACUAGUCUUUUUAGGAUUAAGUGAAAAUAGGGAGACAAUGUAUUUGUAUUAAGGGUUUAGUCUUUGAAUCGUGGGUUUGUGCAGAUUCCCUUGGCCUUCCUUCCUGUUUAACUUUUGAUGUCUGGUCUUGCUGUAGAGACUGAAUACAGCAGGAUUAUUGCUGGACUUUUUUGUUUUCUUAACUAUUUUACGACGUAUUCAUUGACGAAUCGAACUCCACUACAAAUACAAGCCUCUAUAAAAGAAGCUCUGAUCCUUUUUUUGUUAGAAAUAAAAAGACAAAGAUGUUUUAUUUUCUAAGAGUAUGUAGUAGUAGCAUUAGUGAAAUAACCUACAAUGAUGGAUCAUAUGUUUAUUUUUUUAUCAGUGGGCUAUUUAUUUAUUUUUUUCCCUUUUUUUGUGGAAAAAUUUAGAAACUGCAUCCAGACCUGCCUUACUGUUACCAAUAUGUUCCUUUUGUGGAAAGAUUUAGAGACUGUAUCCAGACCUGCCUUACUGUUACCAAUAUGUUCCUUUUUGUGGAAAGAUUUAGAGACUGUAUCCAGACCUGCCUUACUGUGACCAACAUGUUCCUUUUUUUGUGGAAAGAUUUAGAGACUGUAUCCAGACCUGCCUUACUGUUACCAACAUGUUCCUUUUUUGAACAGGGAGGUAUUCUUCCGUAUUUUGUAAUUUUUUUAAGGAUACUUCCACUGACAUUCUUAGAGCUGUCAUUUUAUUGGGAGGAACUGCAGUUCGAUCGGAAUAGUUUUUCUGAUUUUGUCCUCUUGUUUUGUGAGUGACCCUCUCACUCAGUCAACUCGUCUCAGUGCACAAGUCUCCCCUUCUCCAGACACCGCGUAUGAAUCAGAAUCCGUAGCUAGUUGUGACACGUGAGCCUCUGGAUGAAAAGCAGAGUAUCCCUAAAGCAGCUUGGUCCUAUCAGCCCCUCAUGUUGGACUAAACACUUUCAACUCUACACAAGUGAAAACCCCAAAUCACUAAAGAUCCUCUAUUUGCUAUACUAGAGGGACAUGAAGUCUGACUCCUUCCUCAACAUGUGGACCUGCCCUGAGGAUGUUGGACACCACUGUUACACCUUCAGCCUUGUUGAUUUCCUGUCAGACUGGUUGUUUUUCAACUCCAUUCCACGGACGGACUGACCUGAACUUUUACCAGAACAGGAACACAAUGAUCAACAGACUCUCUCCUCACCAGUGGACUGACUACUCAGACUGGUUGUCUUUGAACUCAACAGGAACACAAUGAUCAACAGACUCUCUCCUCACCAGUGGACUGACUACUCACUGGUUGUCUUUGAACUCAACAGGAACACAAUGAUCAACAGACUCUCUCCUCACCAGUGGACUGACUACUCAGACUGGUUGUCUUUGAACUCAACAGGAACACAAUGAUCAACAGACUCCCUCCUCACCAGUGGGACUGACUACUCAGACUGGUUGUCUUUGAACUCAACAGGAACACAAUGAUCAACAGACUCUCUCCUCACCAGUGGGACUGACUACUCAGACUGGUUGUCUUUGAACUCAAGAGGAACACAAUGAACCCAGCCAUGGUGUGUGUAGGUCCCUCGGGGUUGGGCUGAAUUGGAAUUGAAGGUAGUCAAUUCAGGAAGUUAUCACAAAUUACUAUUACUAUAUUAAUUGGAGAAAAAAAAUGCAUUUUCAAUACUUAAACUGAAAAGUAGAAGCUAUUUAAAAGGUUUUUCAAUUUAAGACUUGUUUUAUUCAAAUAAAUUUCCUGAAUUGACUGCUUUUAAUUUGAAUUGAGACCAAACCUGGUGACCAGCGUGACAUAACUGGUUCUAUAGGAUUCGUUGCGCAGCUCAUACCCAGGAACACUUGGCAGUGUGUUUUCUGCUAAUGCCAACAAAAAAACGUUAAACUUGUGUAGCGACCCGCACAGACAGCUGUGUGUUAUGUGUUAGGCUAGGAGGUGGUUGUGUUGUACUGACCAGUACCCGGUGUUCGGGGUCCGACAUGUCAAUCAACCUGCUAUCUGCCAAUCACGGGAAUGCCUGGAAUGUUCUGAUGCCGGGCAUCCUGGUGGUUGGCGGAGUGGCGUGGAGGGGGUUGGGCAGAGGGGUGGAGCAUUGGAAGUUAAGACCAGGUUCAGCUUUUUGUUCUCUCUCUUACGUCUGGGCUUCCCAAGAGAAGGUCACGAUUGGCUUGUGGGUUAUCUGUUAUCUUUUUGGCGUGUGCUACGGCCCAAACAGUAGCCUGUGUAAAGUUGGUUUAAUAAAACGUCAAUUCGCAAACUCAA